rfam:Triticum urartu cultivar G1812 contig1079402, whole genome shotgun sequence.
GUGAGAAUCACAGUGCAGUUCUCCUCUGGCAUGGAUGCCAAUGUAGCAGGUCCUGGACGAUGAGUCAAUGGCCUAUGCUAUCUAUCAUCGUCCCUGCCAAAGGAGAAUUGCCCUGCCAUUCAGCA